ensembl:snoRNA
AUUGGUUGAAAAUCACCUGUGGCUAUGGGUGAAAUUUGCUGCCCAGAGCCACUGGGAGCCUCAGCUCACCACCCACGCCUCUGUGUGGGGAGGUGAAACUCAGACCCUGACAUGU